rnacentral:rRNA from 1 species
UACGAGUGCCCCAAGCGUUAUCCGGAAUCAUUGGGCGUAAAGGGUGUGUAGGCGGUUGUGUUAGUCUUCUGUUAAAUUCUUCGGCUUAACCGGGGGCAUGCGGAGGAAACGGCACAACUAGAGGAUGCGAGAGGUGAAUAGAACUCAUGGAGUAGGGGUGAAAUCCGUUGAUAUCAUGGGGAAUACCAAAAGCGAAGGCAAUUCACUGGCGCACUCCUGACGCUGAAACACGAAAGCGUAGGUAGCGAAUGGG